rnacentral:rRNA from 1 species
GAUGAACGCUGGCGGCGUGCUUAACACAUGCCAGUCGAACGGAAAGGCCCAAGCUUGCUUGGGUACUCGAGUGGCGAACGGGUGAGUAACACGUGGGUGAUCUGCCCUGCACUUCGGGAUAAGCCUGGGAAACUGGGUCUAAUACCGGAUAGGACGAUGGUUUGGAUGCCAUUGUGGAAAGUUUUUUCGGUGUGGGAUGAGCUCGCGGCCUAUCAGCUUGUUGGUGGGGUAAUGGCCUACCAAGGCGUCGACGGGUAGCCGGCCUGAGAGGGUGUACGGCCACAUUGGGACGGAGAUACGGCCCAGACUCCUACGGGAGGCAGCAGUGGGGAAUAUUGCACAAUGGGCGCAAGCCUGAUGCAGCGACGCCGCGUGGGGGAUGACGGCCUUCGGGUUGUAAACUCCUUUCGCUAGGGACGAAGCGUUUUUGUGACGGUACCUGGAGAAGAAGCACCGGCUAACUACGUG